rnacentral:rRNA from 1 species
CCUACGGGAGGCAGCAGUGGGGAAUAUUGGACAAUGGGCGAAAGCCUGAUCCAGCAAUGCCGCGUGAGUGAUGAAGGCCUUCGGGUCGUAAAGCUCUUUUACCAGGGAUGAUAAUGACAGUACCUGGAGAAUAAGCUCCGGCUAACUCCGUGCCAGCAGCCGCGGUAAUACGGAGGGAGCUAGCGUUGUUCGGAAUUACUGGGCGUAAAGAGUACGUAGGCGGUUAUUCAAGUCAGAGGUGAAAGCCCGGGGCUCAACCCCGGAACUGCCUUUGAAACUAGAUAACUAGAGUCUUGGAGAGGUUAGUGGAAUUCCGAGUGUAGAGGUGAAAUUCGUAGAUAUUCGGAAGAACACCAGUGGCGAAGGCGACUAACUGGACAAGUACUGACGCUGAGGUACGAAAGCGUGGGGAGCAAACAGGAUUAGGUACCCUGGUAGUCCACGCCGUAAACGAUGAUAACUAGUUGUUCGGUCACUUGGUGACUGAGUGACGCAGCUAACGCAUUAAGUUAUCCGCCUGGGGAGUACGGUCGCAAGAUUAAAACUCAAAGAUAGUCGCGNGNGAGNGCGACGACGACGACGAGAGGAG